rnacentral:rRNA from 1 species
AUUGAACGCUGGCGGCAGGCCUAACACAUGCAAGUCGAACGAGUGGCGGACGGGUGAGUAAUGUCUGGGAAACUGCCUGCUGGCGGGGGAUAACUACUGGCAACGGUAGCUAAUACCGCAUACCAUCAGAUGUGCCCAGAUGGGAUUAGCUAGUUGGUGGGGUAACGGCUAACCAGGGAAACGAUCCCUAGCUGGUUUUAUAGGAUGACCAGCAAAAUUGGAACUGAGACACGGUCCAGACUCCUACGGGAGGCAGCAGUGGGGAAUAUUGCACAAUGGGCGCAAGCCUGAUGCAGCCAUGCCGCGGGUAUGAAGAAGGCCUUCGGGUUGUAAAGUACUUUCAGCGGGGAGGCGUUACCCGCAGAAGAAGCACCGGCUAACUCCGUGCCAGCAGCCGCGGUAAUUC